GUGUAUAUACAACAGUUUUAUCCAUAAUUGGCAUUGUUUGCACCACAGUUAUACUAGUCAUUAGUGAAAAUCAUCCUACCAAAUAUUUAUCCUUUUCAUAUUGCUAUUAUAUGGUGUGGCAAAAGAGAAACGUAUUGCACUAAUACCAUGGAUGCUUUGGAUGAUUAUAGUGGUUAUAAUACAAUGGGCGUUACUCAUAUUUUGUGUAGCAGUAGUGGUGCUUUUCAGGAAUCCGGUUUUCUUAAGCUUCUUGAUACCUUGCUUGCCGUUGAUUGCUCUAAAUAUCGCUUGCAUAAUCAUUGUGCACAAACACUACCAGCGGUUAUGCUGUUCUAAUUUUGAGAUCGUAAAAUUUUAUGUAAUAUUCUACAAUUCACCUUAAGAUACAUACACCCGAAACACUGCAUCUCUUCAGAGUUUUAUCAAAUUAAUCAAUAAUUUUAUGUUAAAUUUUUAACAGAAAUUGGAUUAAAUUUUUGAGUAAUUCUUUUUAGAAUGCAGAUAAUAACCAAGACAUAUGGAAGUGAAGUGCUGCAAGUUUUAUGAUGACAUUUUUAUCUCUCUUGUGUUAUCUAAGACAAUUUUUAAUGUAGCAAAUUCGAAACAAUUAUUUCUAAGAAAAUACCUGUCGAUUUAUCGGAUAAUCCCAAAAGUAAUGCCUGUUUUAUACUGUACUUGUCCAAACAUGUCUCAUCUUGUCCAACUUGUCCAAACAUGUCAACCACUAAGCUGAGGUGGCCUCAAAUGGAAAAUUUAUACAUAAUUAAAUUAGAAAAUGAUUUAUCUUUAAUAUCCUUUCAAAACUUAACGCUAAAAUGGACAUUAUUUUUGGAAUAAGCUAAUAUUAUAAGAAAAUGGAUAAAAAUUUUGUUUCACAAGAUAUAGUUUUUUGGACUAGCUCUAUCGUUCCGCUACUGAAUUACUACACUACAUAAAUAAACCGAAAUUUUUCUGGAUAACGUAUUACUGCAUUUAUAAAGUUCAUUAUUAUGCAAAAUUUUAGCUUUCUAUCUCAAACAGAAGUAAGCCAAAAUGGAUUAUUUGAGUGUAUAUUAUGUUAGCAUUAUACUAUCCAUAAAAUAUAUAAUUUUUACGGUAACCUUUAUCAUAAAACAGGAUUAUUACUUGUAUAUCAUUAAUACAUUUAAAAACGUAGAGCAUAAACUCUCAUAGAUUUUUCUAUAUGAAAUUGUU
rnacentral:lncRNA from 1 species